rnacentral:rRNA from 1 species
GAUGAACGCUAGCGAUAGGCCUAACACAUGCAAGUCGAGGGGCAGCACAAGGUAGCUUGCUAUCUGGGUGGCGACCGGCGCACGGGUGCGUAACGCGUAUGCAACUUGCCCUAUACAGGAGGAUAACCCGUCGAAAGACGGACUAAUACUGCGUAUGCUCACAACUUGGCAUCAAGUGGUGAGGAAAGAAAUUCGGUAUAGGAUAGGCAUGCGUCCCAUUAGCUUGUUGGUGAGGUAACGGCUCACCAAGGCAACGAUGGGUAGGGGAACUGAGAGGUUUAUCCCCCACACUGGUACUGAGACACGGACCAGACUCCUACGGGAGGCAGCAGUGAGGAAUAUUGAUCAAUGGGCGCGAGCCUGAACCAGCCAAGUCGCGUGAAGGAUGACUGUCUUAUGGAUUGUAAACUUCUUUUAUACGGGAAUAACAAGAGUCACGUGUGACUCCCUGCAUGUACCGUAUGAAUAAGCAUCGGCUAACUCCGUG